AGCUGGGGGGGGAAGCGGGCACGCGGUGCGCUCAGGGGAGGAGGCGGAGCGGAGGUGGAGUGACGGUGACUCUGGAUCCAGACACGGCUCAUCCCCAGCUCGCCCUGUCUGAGGAUCGGAGACAUGUGAGAUGGGGACACGCCCGGCAGGAUCUGCCCGACAAUCCUGAGCGAUUUGACACUGGAUCAGUCAUAACCCUGAGAGGGGGGAGGGGGAGCAGAUGUGAUUUUUGAAGAUAGUCAUGGAAUUUUUUUUCUCCUGAACUGGUUGUGUCACUGCACUCUAAUGAGGAUAUGCAUGUAUGUCACUCUGGGUUUGUCUACACUGCAAUGUAAGCCCAAGGGUUUUGGGUCUGGAGGCAGCUGGCCCAUGUCGGAGAACCCUGGGCUUGAGCAUCUAUACUGGUUCUUAACCCUACAUUAAGACAUUUCUAACCUAGGCUCAAAUCUGGGGCUCUGGUGUCCACACUGCAGCAUGUAGAUCUGAGUCCAACCAACCCUAGCCCAGAUUCCGACCUGAAAUGUGGCCGCUGUGGCCCUUUGAGCAUGUUACAGUGCAGCGAAACUUUUCUGCCCACCCUUCUUGUUACAGGAAGUUGGAACAGCCCGCCAACACAGAGUGCCGAGGAGUGAUUUUGGUCUGUGUGUGCCAAGCUACCAGAGCCAGCAACAUGGAGAAGGCACCUUUUGAAGAAAUCCUCUCGCUUGCACUUUCACUCCUGCAUCAGAAAAAGGACAGAGCUUCCUUGAAGUGCUGGUGAACAUUUGAGAGGACUUUUCUGCCCCACCAAAGGUACCUGAUGGACUGUAUGAUGGAGCAGGAGGAGAAGGAGGACCCUGGCAUGGCAGACUCACACUGGCCUAUGCUGCUCAGUAGAACUGGCAGAGCUGCUGGUAUUCCCUAGGUAGACUGGCACAGGGCCACAAGCACAGACUGGUGAGAUCCCAUCAGCCUGCAGACCUGGGAUGCCCAGCACACAGUCCGGAGCUCAUGCAGGAAAAAAAGGUGCUGCUCCUUUAAACAACAAACAGCUUGAAAGAAAGAGAGAGAAAAGAAAAUACCGAACAGAAAGAACAGGCUUUCAAAUACAUGCUAUAUUUACAGUCAGGCAAUGUGAGAAUUCCAAACAAUUCAAGGAUAGUGUAAUAAUCAGAACACAGAGAAGAGAGUGUCCAAAACCUGCAAGAAUAAUUUAAGGCCUCAAACUAGUUUUUUUCAUGAACAAAGGGACUGAGUUAAGAAAACACAAUCACUUUCCAUAAUA